UACGUAGGUGGCAAGCGUUUGUCCGGAUUUAUUGGGUUUAAAGGGUGCGUAGGCGGCCGCUUAAGUCAGUUGUGAAAUAUCCCGGCUCAACCGGGAGGGUGCGAUUGAUACUGGGCGGCUCGAGUAACAGCGAGGCUGGCGGAAUUGACGGUGUAGCGGUGAAAUGCAUAGAUAUCGUCAAGAACACCGAUAGCGAAGGCAGCCAACUAGGGGUUAACUGACGCUGAGGCACGAAAGUGCGGGGAUCAAACAGG
rnacentral:rRNA from 1 species